GACAGAGGAUGCAAGCGUUGUCCGGAAUUAUUGGGCGUAAAGAGCUCGUAGGCGGUCCGUCACGUCGGCUGUGAAACCUGGGCUCAAUCCCGGGCCUGCAGCCGAUACGGGCGGACUAGAAUUCGGUAGGGGAGACGUGGAAUUCCGAUGGUGGUAGCGGUGAAAUGCGCAGAUAUCAGGAGGAACACCGGUGGCGAAGGCGGGUCUCUGGGCCGAUAUUGACGCUGAGGAGCGAAAGCGUGGGGAGCAAACAGG
rnacentral:rRNA from 1 species